rnacentral:lncRNA from 1 species
UAGGAUUUGGUUAGGAUUGAUUUAAGAUUUAGGAAUUGGUUAGGAUUUAGGAUUUAUCUAGGAUUUGAUUUAGGGUUUAUCUAGGGUUUGGUUUAGGAUUUAGAAUUUGUCUAAGAUUUGAUUUAGGGUUUAGGAUUUGGCUAAGAUUUGAUUAGGAUUGAAUUUAGGAUUUAGGAUUCAUUUAGGAUUUAAUUUAGGAUUUAAGAUUUGUCUAAGGUUUGGUUUAGGAUUUAAGAAUUUUUUAGGAUUUGAUUGAAGUCUAUUAGGAUUUCAACUAGGAUUAAAUUAAAACUUUUUUGAAAUUUAUUUAAUAUAUAUUGUGAUUAUUUUAUUAUUUUUAUAGCUUCUUAAAGA